GACGAACGCUGGCGGCGUGCUUAACACAUGCAAGUCGAACGGAAAGGCCCUUCGGGGUACUCGAGUGGCGAACGGGUGAGUAACACGUGGGUGAUCUGCCCUGCACUUUGGGAUAAGCCUGGGAAACUGGGUCUAAUACCGAAUAGGACCACGCGCUUCAUGGUGUGUGGUGGCAAGCUUUUGCGGUGUGGGAUGGGCGCGCGGCCUAUCAGCUUGUUGGUGGGGUAAUGGCCUACCAAGGCGACGACGGGUAGCCGGCCUGAGAGGGUGACCGGCCACACUGGGACUGAGAUACGGCCCAGACUCCUACGGGAGGCAGCAGUGGGGAAUAUUGCACAAUGGGCGCAAGCCUGAUGCAGCGACGCCGCGUGAGGGAUGACGGCCUUCGGGUUGUAAACCUCUUUCAAUAGGGACGAAGCGCAAGUGACGGUACCUAUAGAAGAAGCACCGGCCAACUACGUG
rnacentral:rRNA from 1 species